GCCGGGAUAGCUCAGUUGGUAGCGUA
rnacentral:tRNA from 1 species